rnacentral:rRNA from 3 species
GACAGAGGGUGCAAACGUUGUUCGGAAUUACUGGGCGUAAAGCGAGUGUAGGCGGUUUCCUAAGUCAGGUGUGAAAGCCCCGGGCUCAACCCGGGAAGUGCACUUGAAACUGGGAGGCUAGAGUAUCGGAGAGGUUGGUGGAAUUCUCGGUGUAGAGGUGAAAUUCGUAGAUAUCGAGAGGAACACCGGUGGCGAAGGCGGCCAACUGGACGAAUACUGACGCUGAGACUCGAAAGCGUGGGGAGCAAACAGG